rnacentral:lncRNA from 1 species
ACUAAGUUUAGAAAAAGUUAUCGAUUUGCUUAGUUUGUCUCCAAAGAUAUCAUAUUAAGAAUAUAAGUUUGUAAAAUUAGAUUUCAGAUAAAGAUAUUUUUCUCUUUUUGCCAAAAAGUUGAUCAAUAAAAUACAAGAUAAAUAGUAAGUUAUUUGAUAUUAAUUACAUAAAACUAAAGUCUUCUUUAAAUAUUUGACUUUAAAGACAAAUAAUAGCUUUUUUGAAAUAUAUUUUUUUAAUAUCAAUUUCAAAAGGUUCAAAAAGAGUAUUUUUUAAAUUCAACUUUUGAACAUAAUUAAUUGGAGCAAGAUAAUAGAAAUGAUGAUUAGAUUUAACUUGCAGAGUAUGAAUAAAUUUCUCAAAAUGAAUCAAAUGAACAAAAUCACAUGAAUGCUCAAAUAUAUCAAGAUAGGCAAAAUAUACAUAUUUAUCAAUGAUAAUGAUUUCUCUUAUAAUAUUUAAAUUAUAUUUUUUCUCUUAUUUUUCAUAAUAAAUGUUAGUCAAUUUAUUUUUCUUAAUUUUUUUUUCAAAUCAUGCACAUUUAUUUAAUUUAAUUAAUCAUUCAUAUCUUCUCCUUUGUUUUGCAAACAAAAUAAUUAUUCAAUUAGGCAAUAAUUUCUCUCUCUUAGUUUCAUAAAUAGAGUAUAUUUUCAAUCAAACAAACAUAUAAGUAUAAGCAUCACUCAUAUUAAAUUUACAUCAUAAAGAUCAAGUUUUCAUUGAUUUAAACAUGAAAAGUAAGCAAGAUGUAUGAGAGCUAUAUCCUAGAGAUUUCAAAAAAUGGAUUGCUAGAGUCACUAAAGUUAAAAAAAAAAAUCCUAGCAUUUGAAGAGAGUGGGUCAAGUUGAUCCUAUGAUGAAGAUCCAGGCUAACUAGAAGGAGAGGUUGGUCUGAUGUCCCCAGAUGAUUGAGCCCGAUUACGAACAUUCUUCCUUGCUGAAAUGAGUACCUAGAUCAAUCUUGUAGACUCCUCUUUGAUCAGUGAUAGAACCUCCAACAAAUCUCUCCUCACUUGCUGUGCCUCUGAUAUGUACUGUUGAAACUCUGUACAAGCUGAAGCUAUGAUUCUGGUGGAGACUCUCAACCAAUGCAUCUUCAUCCAGUCUAUUAGAUAAUCGUGAGCUGCUCUUUGGAUGGCUGGACUAUGAAGGAGGAGUGGCCUCCGUCUACUCUGCCGGCUUCUCUGAUCUAAUAUCUACAAGCGGCACUGUUGCAGGAACCUCAUCUUCAUCAUCUAUAUCAAGAUGUAUCUCAUUCCAUUUCAAGUUUCUAAUCCCAAAUUUUAUAUUUACAAAGAUAUUUUUUUUGCAGUUGAUUCAGGU